GAUGAACGCUGACAGAAUGCUUAACACAUGCAAGUCGACUCGAGUCUUCGGACUUGGGUGGCGCACGGGUGAGUAACGCGUAAAGAACUUGCCUCUUAGACCGGGACAACAUCUGGAAACGGAUGCUAAUACCGGAUAUUAUGGUUUUUUCGCAUGGAGGAAUCAUGAAAGCUAGAUGCGCUAAGAGAGAGCUUUGCGUCCCAUUAGCUAGUUGGUGAGGUAACGGCCCACCAAGGCAAUGAUGGGUAGCCGGCCUGAGAGGGUGAACGGCCACAAGGGGACUGAGACACGGCCCUUACUCCUACGGGAGGCAGCAGUGGGGAAUAUUGGACAAUGGACCACAAGUCUGAUCCAGCAAUUCUGUGUGCACGAUGACGUUUUUCGGAAUGUAAAGUGCUUUCAGUCGGGAAGAAGUCAGUGACGGUACCGACAGAAGAAGCGACGGCUAAAUACGUGCCAGCAGCCGCGGUAAUACGUAUGUCGCAAGCGUUAUCCGGAUUUAUUGGGCGUAAAGCGCGUCUAGGCGGCAAGGAAAGUCUGAUGUGAAAAUGCGGAGCUCAACUCCGUAUGGCGUUGGAAACUGCCUUACUAGAGUACUGGAGAGGUAGGCGGAACUACAAGUGUAGAGGUGAAAUUCGUAGAUAUUUGUAGGAAUGCCGAUGGGGAAGCCAGCCUACUGGACAGAUACUGACGCUAAAGCGCGAAAGCGUGGGUAGCAAACAGGAUUAGAUACCCUGGUAGUCCAAGGGCGAAUUCCACAGUGGAUAUCAAGCUUAUCGAUACCGUCGACCUCGAGGGGGGGGCCCGGAACCCAGCUUUUGUUCCCUUUAGUAGGGGUUA
rnacentral:rRNA from 1 species